UUUUUUUUUACUGUGAUCAGCAGUUGAGUCAGACAAACAGGAUCCAAAUGAUCACAUCAGCUGAGAACUAGAGGUGAAAGAGGUUAAAGCCACAAUAAAAACAUUUGUUGAAAGUUUCCAUCAUCCCUCAAAAACCUACCAUGAAAUGACAUUAUGCAUUCCAGAAAUUAAUCUUUGACUACAAUAAACAUAUAAUUGUUGAAUGUACAUGUAAGUCAAGCAAUUAAUACAUAACUUCUAAAUCUACAUAACUGAACAUCAGACUCAAUGUAAUGAAUCAGUAAAUGUGGAACUGAACACAGGACAAAAAAACAGCUUUUCGUCUGCUACUGAAGGAAAAAACUUUAUAACUCGACUAAAUCAGGCUGAAU